rnacentral:rRNA from 1 species
GACGAACGCUGGCGGCGUGCUUAACACAUGCAAGUCGAACGGAAAGGCCCUGCUUUUGUGGGGUGCUCGAGUGGCGAACGGGUGAGUAACACGUGAGUAACCUGCCCUUGACUUUGGGAUAACUUCAGGAAACUGGGGCUAAUACCGGAUAGGAGCUCCUGCUGCAUGGUGGGGGGUGGAAAGUUUCGGCGGUUGGGGAUGGAUUCGCGGCUUAUCAGCUUGUUGGUUGGGUAGUGGCUUACCCAGGCUUUGACGGGUAGCCGGCCUGAGAGGGUGACCGGCCACAUUGGGACUGAGAUACGGCCCAGACUCCAACGGGAGGCAGCAGUGGGGAAUAUUGUACAAUGGGCGGAAGCCUGAUGCAGCAACGCCGCGUGCGGGAUGACGGCCUUCGGGUUGUAAACCGCUUUCGCCUGUGACGAAGCGUGAGUGACGGUAAUGGGUAAAGAAGCACCGGCUAACUACGUG